rnacentral:lncRNA from 1 species
AGGUCCAAGCUUGAUGGUGAGCGCAUGUUAGCUCCAUGAUAAGCCUUGUGGAGAGCACCUCCAUCUCUUUCAGACUUGAUGCUUGAAUCCUCCACUACAUCACCAUUGCACUGAGGAGAUACCUCAGCCCACUCUCCAAGCAUCUCACACUAGCUUGUUGAGUGACUUUCUUCUUCCCUCCACUUCGGCUGGAUCACUCCAUGAUCAGCUUGCAAUGGCCUUGAGUAACACAGGUCAUUGAGCAACAGGAUCAUCAGGUGGCUCACUUUGCUCCCCUCCUCAAGCUUGGAUUGAGUAUGGGUCCAAGCUUGAAGUGAGCCUCAAUGAGCCUUAAGAUCAGGAGCGCAACAUCUCAUAGAGUGCGCUUCAACCACUGAUCAACCCUUCCCUUUAUCUCCAAUGCCUUCUGGUCACCGGUCUCCUCUAGACUUAGGUGAUGACCACUCGCCUUGUGUAUCCACAUACACCCCAGCGACCAUUCCCAAUGGGUAAAGUCUUCCUCUUCUACUCGGAUUGAUGAUGGACAGAGAGCACAUCAUGUGAACCUGAAACAUCACUCAAACUCCAGCAAAGAUAAGACACAAGCAUUGGGAUCAAUCCUUGACUAAUAUCAAGUUUGAUCUCCAAUGUCACAAGCUAUGCAACAGAUUGAAACAAGCAUUAUCAAGUUCACAUCUUUGCAAGCAAUCUCUCUAAGUACAAGCAAGAUCAAAUAAGAUUCAAGACAAGCUACUUAGGCAUUUUAACUUCUGCCUUAACUACACCUUAGACUUGAAUCUAAGUGUAUCAACCUAAGGCAGCAACAAGAUGACAGUAUGCUAUAUAACCUUAAACAGUUUCUAAUUCAUGAGUGCAACAUGAUCAGACAAUACAAUCUAUCACACACUCAUUUAGAACUGUGGCUAAGCAGUAUUAUCAUCAAUCAACAUCAGACAAUGCAAAACCUUAAGUUAUUUCAGUUUAAUGAAAGCUAAUAGGAUUUAGACAGUUUCUAACAUCCUAGCUCAAUCAUAACCAAAUUGGGCAAGCAUUUCAUUUCUCAACAUCAAACAAGACUCAAUAGCAUCCUGGGACUAAACAAGACAAUAUUAUCAAGCAUUUUCAGUCAUUAACCCACGGAUGCAACAUAAAGAACACAACACAACAGCCAGUUUCAAUCACAAGCUCAUAUCAAGAAGGUUUAGGAUUAGCUUACAACCAAGGAACCUGAGCUGGUUCCUUGAGCCUCCUUGGUAACAGGCCACGAAUCUAGUGGAUAAGAGAGCUGGAUCGUCACCCAACACCUUCUCCUUAUGUUCAUAACCUCCUCCUUGACACCACAACACAAAAGGUUCCACCUUUCUUCACAGCUCCAAGUCUCCAACUUCAGGAACAAGAUGAAAGCUUUCUUCUUGAAGGGUUUCAGCUUGGCACAGAGUUGAGACACGCCUUUAAUGGACUGGAGAGAGGAGGAACGACCAGGAGACACCACCAUAGCUUCAAACACCUUCUUUUUGAAGAGAGAGAACAGGCUGGACAUCUUCAAUGGUUUGGAUCUGUGAUGAGGCUAGACUUGUGAUGUAUAUGCGGAAGCUGGAACCAAGUUCUGAUAGAGAAAGACUCAAAACUUGCUUGAUUAAUUAAUGAGAGAGUGUUUACAUAUUUAUAGGGAGAGAGCUUAGUGUUAGGUUUUCAGAGCUCAGGCUGUGUGUGUGAGAAGAAGCCACUAAGGGCGAAAUGAGAGCUUGAACUGAAGAGAGAAAGGUCUGAUGAAGAACAGUAUGAACUUGGACAGAAACAAGAGAUUUAGAAAGAUUAAGAGAUUUAAGUAUAAGAAAGGGGUAGUUUGAGGGAUUCUUAUCCAAGAACACACUUUGUAUUAUGAAGGAGGAGGGGAAAUCCCCCUCUCUCUCUUAAGAGACACAAAAACGUCCAUACAUAGCUUAUUUAUAAGCUUUACACAUUGCAAACUCAUAAACCCUUAAUCUAAUGGAUAGAAAUGACUGAAUUGAAAUGGAUGGCUAGGAUGGAGUCUGGUGGGUUGCUGAGGACGUGAUGGAUGCUGAUUGGUUGAUUCAAACUGGUCAAAGCAAGGGCUGGCUCCUGAUUGGUUCCCUUAAGGCUCCCAUGAACCUUGUUCACAAAGAUGGCUAGAUACAUGGUCAAGGCUGCUUUUCCUUUACAGCUCAAAGACAGCCUGUCAUUGACCACGCCCUAGCUCUCCCUUAUCCACAAACAGUCACAAGAUAACUCAGGUUUGUCUUCUCUUGCGCCCUAAGUUUGCACAGCUUCAUUUCAGGUUGAUCCGGAACAAGUACGGUCGAUGGUACGGACCGUCUGUCCGUACCUCUCCCUAUUUUUGCACCAACUCCCAAUCUUCUCAAAUGGUUGAGUCUGAACAUGAUCUUGGUCGCCCUAAGUUCGUACGGUCCGUACCGUCCGUACCGAUGCUCGACCCUAUUUCUGCACCAUCACCCAACUGACUCCAAAUGGUGUCUAAGUAUGUCUAAGUCCCUCCUGGACUUGACCCUAACUUUGCACACCUCAUUUGGAUACUUCUGGACACUCCUGAACACUCCUAAAGCCUUGAUAGACAAUCUCCAGAGGUCUUGCCCCAUUCUCGCUCAAGACCCAAACUCAACCCAACUCCUCCUUUGGCUCCAUUUCUUUCUUCAAGUCAACACUCCCCCUCAAGCUUGACUCUAGGUGAUCCUAAGCCAAGCUUGGAACCUUGAAGAACUCCCUCAUUAAAAACCUCACCAAGGAAAACCCUUUGGGACAAAACCUUGAGGAGGGAAAAAGAGUAAAGCCUUCAAGGCCUAGGGAUUGGCCAGUGAGCCUAUGUGCCUUAGUAUCAAUUGGGACAAAACCUUGAGGAGGGAAAAAGAGUAGAGCCUUCAAGGCCUAGGGAUUGGCCAGUGAGCCUAUGUGCCUUAGUAUCACUGAGGUUUAGGCACAUAGGCUCUGGAUCACGGCCUCUUCACUUCACCACACCUUCUUAAACUCUUCUAUAGAACCGGCUUAGUGUCUCCCCCCUUUCACCUGACUUCAUGCCAUCUUGAAAGGCUAGGAACGACCUGAUCCUCUCCAUUGAGUCUCCAAGUAAGGUACCUGAUACAUCAUUCCACAAGUGUAUCAGUUCUCAAGAGAUAAACCUAUCAUGAAUGUAUAUAAAGAGAUUGAUCAGGUUUACUCCCUUGUUUAAAUGUUGAGGAGUGGCUGCUCUUCACACACCACUUGAAUCCCUCACUUGCUGAGCUUAACAGCUCCUUCUCUUAUCAUGCAAGCUCAUCCACACUCCCCCUCAAGCUUGAGACCGAGUAGAGGAAAGGUCCAAGCUUGAUGGUGAGCGCAUGUUAGCUCCAUGAUAAGCCUUGUGGAGAGCACCUCCAUCUCUUUCAGACUUGAUGCUUGAAUCCUCCACUACAUCACCAUUGCACUGAGGAGAUACCUCAGCCCACUCUCCAAGCAUCUCACACUAGCUUGUUGAGUGACUUUCUUCUUCCCUCCACUUCGGCUGGAUCACUCCAUGAUCAGCUUGCAAUGGCCUUGAGUAACACAGGUCAUUGAGCAACAGGAUCAUCAGGUGGCUCACUUUGCUCCCCUCCUCAAGCUUGGAUUGAGUAUGGGUCCAAGCUUGAAGUGAG